AUUGAACGCUGGCGGAAUGCUUUACACAUGCAAGUCGAACGGUAGAGGGGGCAACCCCUCGAGAGUGGCGAACGGGUGAGUAAUAUAUCGGAACGUGCCCAGUCGUGGGGGAUAACGUAGCGAAAGUUACGCUAAUACCGCAUACGAUCUAAGGAUGAAAGCGGGGGACUCGCAAGAGCCUCGCGCGAUUGGAGCGGCCGAUAUCAGAUUAGGUAGUUGGUGGGGUAAAGGCUCACCAAGCCAACGAUCUGUAGCUGGUCUGAGAGGACGACCAGCCACACUGGAACUGAGACACGGUCCAGACGCCUACGGGAGGCAGCAGUGGGGAAUUUUGGACAAUGGACGCAAGUCUGAUCCAGCCAUUCCGCGUGCAGGAUGAAGGCCCUCGGGUUGUAAACUGCUUUUGUACGGAACGAAAAGGUUUCUAUUAAUACUAGGAGCUCAUGACGGUACCGUAAGAAUAAGCACCGGCUAACUACGUGCCAGCAGCCGCCGCCGUAA
rnacentral:rRNA from 1 species